rnacentral:rRNA from 1 species
GACAGCAGUAGCCGCGGGAAUACAGAGGGUGCGAGCGUUAAUCGGAUUUACUGGGCGUAAAGCGUGCGUAGGCGGCUAAUUGAGUCGGAUGUGAAAUCCCCGAGCUUAACUUGGGAAUUGCAUUUGAUACUGGUUAGCUAGAGUGUGGGAGAGGAUGGUAGAAUUCCAGGUGUAGCGGUGAAAUGCGUAGAGAUCUGGAGGAAUACCGAUGGCGAAGGCAGCCAUCUGGCCUAACAAUGACGCUGAGGUACGAAAGCAUGGGGAGCAAACAGGAUUAGAUACCCCAGUAGUCCCUGUCUCUUAUAC